CUACGCAAUGGCGAAAGGACCUCAUCCGGCUGAAGUCCCGCCUACCUUAACCUCACGGCGCCCUUAUGUCAUCACGCAGGCCCACUAACCCCGCCCCUCUCCUCCCAACCAUGCAGAAGACGUGGCUUCUCCUGGAAGAAGGAAGGGGGGCACGUGACCUGAACUCAGACCACUCGCGUCUAACUUCACGUGCUCAUAUUCAGUGGCUCUCCUGAAUCCAGACUUUCACCCGUUCCUUUCGUUGACAGACUUGCGUCUAGAGAGCAUGCGCAUGUCUUCAUCAAGUAGAACUCAAUCACAGGUUACCUGAAGCGCAUGCACGGAAUGGUAUCGCUCGUUUCAGACGCGGCUAGAGUUUUUCAGAGUCUCGCAACAAAUUGUUUUACUUCCUUGAGCUGACCUUGAGGUAUCGUAUGUGAGAUUCACUGGUGGUGCAAUCUUGCUGCCUCUCAGAGGAAAGGCAGGGGGAGAGAACCCGUAACAACAGGCGAUCUUUUGGAAUGAGACAAGAUGACCGUGGGGUUGUCUUCAGGAUUCACAGGAAUUAAAUCAAAACCAUUGUUUUUGCGCAACACUUUGAUGCGUGAUGAGCUCUGAUGUGGUACAAAUAAGGAACUGGGUGUGUUCACCCCAAAAUAAACUUGAGAAGACCCUCAAAUCAUGCUGUCCAGGAUUUCAACCAGGAAUCUUUUUCAGCCCCACUUGGAGAUGACAAGGAUUGAACAUGGGAUUAUGCAGGAUUUGCGGCACCUGUCAGACAUUUAAAUUUCCCUGUUGUGGAAAGAGGACAUGUGGGAUGACAAACCCCUUUCUGAGAGGAGAGCUUGGGGAGUGACAUACUGGAAUUACUCCAAUGGGUGCCUGGACUAACCCCAUAUAAACCCCACACUCACUUAAUAGUCCCUAGGAAUAAAGAAAGUGAUUUCUACCACUGGACAACCACUCUUCCUUGUGGACAUGAGAUCAGUCUUACAAGUCAUAGGAGCAUCUCAAAUUAUUAUUAUUUAAGGCAUUUAUAUACCGCUUUUCAGGAGGACCUCAAAAGCGGUUUACAUAAGAUUAUUACAAGAAGUAAUUUUUUUAAAGUUACAAUAAAAUGGAAAAAACAGCUUGGUUAAGAAGAAUCUGUUACUGCUUGAUGUCUCCCCUCAUGUCAAGAUGGCUCUGCUACAGAUGCCACUGAGGUGACAGUUGGGGGUACUGCAGAAUAUGAAGUGAGAACCCUUCAACAGAUAGGAGGUCUCAUGACCCUGGCUCAAUUAGGAAUGUCUCAUGCCAAAAUUUUGUGCCAAGCACAAUGCUAGGGUAUCUCUGAGAUGUAAUACUCUCCUGGAAGUGUGCUUACAUACACUGAGCAUUAUUACUAUGUGGACACUACAUUGUUUUAGUAAACUCAUGAAGUGUUGGGAGUGUUGCAGGGUGUUGCCAUAUCCUUCCACUUAAGUCGUUAGAAAUGUUUUGCAUAUUUAAAGUUCCUUGAUUUUUGGAGUGAAAAGUAAACACACCCACCACUGAUUCCACACACCAAUUGAGAGUUUUCCCAGCCUUCCCAUGAAUCAACAAAAGGGAGAUACAGAGCUGAGCAUCAUCACAUACUGAGCUGACUCCCUCCCAUAAUGCAUUUGGCAAUCUAGUAAAAAAGGGCAUUUCCAGACGUCAGAAGAUCCAAGUAAUGGAUGUGCCAUAUCAGCACACUUGAGACCAGCAAUCCAUAUGGCGAUUAUGUUGAUCCCUAUUAGGAUUACUGCCAGUCCAAAUAAAUUAGCAAGAUAUACAUAAGUGGCACAGCAACCAUUGUGCAUAACCAGCAAUGAUAACUCUAACCUUAUCAGGUUGGAGGGUACUUCUUUGCAGGGGUGCUUUUUCUCUUACUUCCUGUUUAGUGCUACCAGUAGUAGGGGAGGUGGCUGUCUUGAAGCACCCCAAGGAAUUACAUAGAUCCACAUAAUCCCAUGGUAAAGUAUUUCCAGUUUUCAGAAGUGAUUUACAUUCCAUGCCCUAUGUAACCUCUUCAUGUGGCUACUUGAAUGAAACAGGAUCAGUUCAGCCCCCUUCUGUGUUGCAUAUAUUGUGACUGGAGAGUACAACCACACAUCAACCACAAUGUAUAUUUCUUGGAAGGAAUCAAGAUUAAUUGAAUGAAGCAUGGGACAGUCUAAUAUGUAAGAAACAUUCUCUCCUCUUCUAGUUACACUCAUUAGUGGUAAGAAGAAAGAAAAAUCCAUUAGAAAAUGUUACUGAACAACAUUGCCCUCCUUUAUAUGUUAACUAUGAAUGAUUACAUUUUGGGCAAUUGUGGGCAUCAUUACAAUCUUGUUGAAUUAGCAAACUCCACACUAAACAUAGAGCUAUUCUGCACCAAAAAGGUCUA